rnacentral:rRNA from 1 species
GAUGAACGCUAGCGGCAGGCCUAACACAUGCAAGUCGAGGGGCAUCACAGUCUAGUUCGCUAGACGGGUGGCGACCGGCGCACGGGUGCGUAAACGCGUAUGUAACCUACCAUUGACAGGGGGAUAGUCAGAGGAAACUUUGAAUAAUACCGGCAUAACAUAUAUAAGAGGCAUCUUUUGUAUAUCAAAAUUACGAUGAAGGAUGGGGAUGCGUUCCAUUAGGUAGUAGGCGGGGUAACGGCCCACCUAGCCGACGAUGGAUAGGGGUUCUGAGAGGAAGGUCCCCCACACUGGAACUGAGACACGGUCCAGACUCCUACGGGAGGCAGCAGUGAGGAAUAUUGGUCAAUGGGCGCGAGCCUGAACCAGCCAAGUAGCGUGAAGGAUGACUGCCCUACGGGUUGUAAACUUCUUUUGUUUGGGAAUAAAUGAUACUACGUGUAGUAUUUUGCAUGUACCUUACGAAUAAGCAUCGGCUAAUUCCGUG